UCCCAAGGCACCGGAAGUCAGGACAGCUGAGGAUGUGUGGUCUCUGUUUUCUCUGAAAAUAUGAUGGAGGGCCAUUUAACAGGACACAGCAGCGGACUUUACAGCCUACUUCCAGUCGAGUUUUUUCUCCUUUCCACAGUCAGGCUGUCCACAGACCAUCUUGAUGGAUUUUGCUGUUAUCUUUCAAUCAUCUUAGCUGUUCUGUCCAUGUCAUUGUCGUGACUGACCUUUUGCUAAGCCACUGUGAGCAGGCAUAGAAGAGCAGCUGAGGUGUCAGGCUUCAGAGAUGAGAGGAUUGAACCCAGGGCCUCAUGAUUAAUGGAUAAACUGUACCACUGAGGUGUAUCUCCAACUUUAAAAAAAAAAGAGAGAGAGAUGAAUGAUGGGG